rnacentral:rRNA from 1 species
AUUGAACGCUGGCGGCAGGCCUAACACAUGCAAGUCGAGCGGAUGAAGGGAGCUUGCUCCUGGAUUCCGCGUCGGACGGGUGUGUAAUGCCUAGGAAUCUGCUUGCUAGUGCGGGAUAACGUCCUGAAACGGGCGCUAAUACCGCAUACUUCCUGCUGGAGCAAGUGGGGGGUCUUCGGACCUCUCCCUAUCAGAUGAGCCUAGGUCGGAUUAGCUAGUUUGUGGGGUAAAGGCCUACCAAGCCGACGAUCCGUAAAUGGUCUGAGAGGAUGAUAAGUCACACGAGAAGGGGAACACGGACAAGGCGACUAAGAGAGGGAGCAGACGGGAAUAUGAGGCAGUGGGCGAGAGCAUGAUACAACCAGGCCGCGUGUGUGGAGAAGAUCUUCGGAGUGUAAAGAACGUUAAGUUGGGAGGAAGCGCAGUAAGUUGAGACCUAGCGGUAUUGACGUUAACAACUGAAGAAGCACCGGCUAACUUCGUG